CCCAUCUGAUGCAGGAAUAUACACAUGCUGAGGGUGCAGCUGGCCCAGGACAGCCACAGCCCAGCUCAUGUCAGGAAAGCUCCUGAGCACAUCAACCACGGUAAACCAGUCUGUACAAUGAGGCACAGAUGGAAAUGAGACCUACCUUCUUCCUGUGGGUGUGGCAGAACCUACCAUGAAGCCAACAGCCUGAUACAACAGCUUGAGGUGGCUGCUGUGAUUCAGUGAGCCCAUGGCUGCUCCCUGCACAGUGCUAGGGGGAGCCAAAUGCUCAGCAGAGGGGCACAGGCUCCUGCAGCAGUGCCAACCUACUCCUGAGUCCUGGCAGAUGUUCUGCCUGUUGCUAUGGACUAAUUGCACGGCAAGGCACAAGCCAAAGGAGUCAUCAUCCUUCCCCUGCUACCAGCUGAACACAGGUGGAUAACCCCAUCCCAGGGCUGGAUCUCCAGAUGCAGACUUUUCUUGGGGAGAUCUGGAUGUAGUCAGCACACAGCAGCAGAGCAGAUUAAUGUUGAGCUAAUUGCAACAGGAAGCAUUGCACAAGACUAACCCAUCAAUCAACUGCUAACAGUGCUUGGCAACUUUGUGCACAGUUACUUCCUCCGAAUGCAGAUUGCAUUCCUAGCUCUGCCUGCAAGAAUUGUCUGAAAAAUGUGCUUCACUUUGGCAACACAUACAACCCCUGCUUACAGCCCUGUGAGGGGACCUUUCACUGCCAAAACCAAGGGGGUACAGAGCACCUCUGUAGCUGUCUCAUACCCUUCAGUUCAUCAGCCACUUCAGACACAUUGGAACAACUGCUGAGGUCAGCUGGCUGUCUGGGUAUCAAGGCAACAGCACAAGGCAUUUAAGGGUAGUGCAGCGUGCUGAGAAAGGUCUGAUUCCAUGUAAUACCUGUACAAGAUCCCUCCGUCCGACAGCCAUGGCUGAGGCAGCAUUCUUCUGGCAAGUCUCCUGGAUAUUAUUCACAUUCAAUCUGAAAAGAAGAAAGACAGAUCAGCUCUUGGGCUGGCAUGUUACUGAGAAGGCAGGGAGGAAUGGUGAGAACGUGGUACUGGUAAUAGUAAGUAGCCCAGAACUUGCUGAUCACUAUGAGCCUACAAGCACAACCAGGAUCUCAUCGAGCCCCUUGUGUUAGUCAGGAAUCACUACCAUCCUUCUGGCAACUCUGCUAUUCAUCUUCCUUAACACACUGCUUAUUGCUCCAAACUGGCUUAGUCCUAAGAUGCACCACUUCCAUGGGGACACUGAAUCCAACUUGUGCCAGAACACCACCAAGCCAAGAAUUGUUCCUGUCCCUAGGAUCCAUCAGUGAUGUGGUUCUGUUCCCAUCCAGCCUCUUGAUCUCUUUUACCUGACUGGAAUAAAUCAGCCUUACCCACAGACAAGCAAGUUCCUGAGCUCUGUAACACACCCCUUGCAGAGUCUCUGAGUGCCCAACAAGGGGCAGGGGGAGCCUGAGGAAACCCAAGUGGGGUUUCCUAUUCAUCAUCAGGUUCUUCAGAUGCUUGAUGUUUUUUACAAGUGAGAUACCCAGAGAAGAAAGAUCCAUUAAAUCUUAUCAAUAACACAGAGAAGAGAGAAGGAAGACUUUCUCUUCCUCACUAUUCCUUAAGAAGGGCAGCCUGCUCCUUCCCUGAAUCUGUACCACCAACUUCUCCCUCCUGCUGACAAAAGCCUGAGCCCAUGAGGCUCACAGUGAUGAUAUUGGAGCGCCAGUUCACCCUGUAUACAGCUACACCAUCACAAAUCUCUUCCAUUGCUUUUCAGAUUUCUGGAAGACAAACCUCCUCUCACAGGCAGAAUGACACCAGAAAAAGGAAGGCAAGAGAAAAGGAAGAAGGUGCAGCAAUAUUCAAAUAUUUGAAGGGUGAAAGCACAGCAGUGCCAACGACAGCUGCUGGGUGCCAGCCUGUACUCACAUGUAGAGCUCUCCCAGCAGCUUGUGCACAGGCAGCAAGCAGGAAAUAUCUUGUAUAAUAACUUUCCCAGCAGCUUUGAUGGGUCGGUUGUUGGCAUCCGUCCCCUCCCGUUUGCUUUUCCACCUCCUUGAUUUCUGCAGAACAAAUGGCAGCGUGUUACUUGGGGGCAGGACACCAGCCUUCGUGGGCCAGGGAACAAAGCACUAAGGGUCAAGGAUAAUGCAAGCAGCACCCAAACCCGCCUUUCAGAAGGCUCUGUGUCCCCCUGGAAAACAUCCAUGACAUGCCCAGGAGAACAAGCAUCUCCAUCUGUAGGAAGUGAAAAGCAGGUCAAGGCAACGAGCUCAAGGUUAAACUCACUCAAAAAGUAUUUUGUGAGUUCCCCUGUGAAAGCCAAUAAGAGAACAAAUCAGCAUUGGGAUGGGAUGCCAAUCGGACCCAGAAAGGUUUAGCAGGAUAUGGCUCAAAAUUAGUGCUCUCAUUAGAGGUCUGGUGUGGGAAGCCUUGCACACAGAGCACCACUGGCUUCAGCUCAGCACAGAGACAAGCAGGAGCCAGCUUCUGUUUGCCCUUGACUUCAGAGAGGGCCAGCAGCUCCAGACUCUCCUCUGGUCUCCUCUGAGAACACCUCUCCUGCUUUAUCAAGAGCUUCGAACAAAUGGCAGAUGAUAAAGCAGGGCCCACGUUUUCCUAGCAAGGAUCCUCAGCUACCAUGCUCACAGCUGGCUCAGGGCAAACAGCUGGGGGAAAUAGGAAGGAGAGGAAUCAACACAAGGGAAAAAACCAGGGAGCCAAAACCCCAAAUACUCCCCAUAACAGCUGCAUCUUUGUGCCAAGCUGCGUAACGCUGCCUCGGAUACACGACAGCCUGUGGAGUAUUGGGCAGCUCCUUGCUGCAGGAGGGCUGAGGACGUGCAGCACAGGGAAGUAAAGGUUGUACAGGACCUCUAGGAGGGAAGCGCUGGCUGCUAUGAGCAGCAGCGGAUGCUUUGCAGUGCUGUGAGCUCCCUCACUGACAUGCUCCAAUCAGUGUUCCAAUGUCACACUGAGCUGCAGAGGCUCUGAGUGCACCCAGAGCUAACAGUCCCUCUGUCCUGCUGUACAGGCAGAGCUCACCCAGGCACAUCAGUGCUCCUUAAGAAUAGACUGGGCUACGGGAAGGGCAGGACCAGGACCUUCUUCACUGCCUGUGCUCCCAUAGGGCAGGUGGCUGAGGCCCAGAGGCUCGAGCACAGGCUUGGCAGUGAGUGAAGGAGGUAAUUCAGACUUGAAGGAAGUGAAGGUGGACAUUCCUGACCUUGUGACAGAUCCUCACCAGCUCUCCUGGCCUUCCACUGCUCCCCAGAGUAAAGAGGAGCAAGCACAUUCUGCCCAACAUACAGAGGUACCAAAUGGAAACAGGGCUAUCAGCAUUCGGUGCUUUGGGAAUUGGACAGCCAGGGCUAAUUCUGCUCCCAGCUACAGCCCUGCAAGCUCUAAUCCAACCAAUCUGCUUUCAGUUUUUACCUCAUCUAUUGCUCAAAUUGAGAGCUACGCAGCAGAAGGUGGCUACAGGAUGGGAGACCAUCCUCUCCUCAAUACAUCAGUCAAGGUCCUGCCUGGACCAGCUCUGACUCCCACCAUUGGGCACAGUUCUACUCCUGAUAACACCUAAAAACAUCGCUACCCUUUCUGUGCUGAAAGACAUGGACUGUAAAAUAACAGUGUUCUCAAAUCACUGUGGUGCCUGUCCCUGCUUCCUCAUCUGCAGGACGAGGUGCAGCAAGUUGCUGCUGAUGCUGCCAAAACCAACAGUGGAGCAAAACUUGGGAGCCCCAGAGCAAAGAUGUGCCACUAGGGCAGGACUGCAGGCAGUACUUAUCAAAAGAGUCCCCUGUGCCAAACCUGAAUGCAGACUUACAGGCACAGAGCCACACUCUGCAGGUCCAGAGCUCGGCAGGAAUGUCAGGGAGCAGCUUCCCACCUCCUGAGCAUCUGCAAGGCAGCUGAACCCAGCACUCACAGCUGAUGGAGCGUUCCCCCUCUGCUGUCACUGAGAACAGCCCAACCUGCUCCUGCCCCCUGCACGAGCCAGCUGAAGAAGCCUCCCACCAGGUACUGCAAAGCCCAGAAACAUGGACGACACACACCACUUCCCACAGGCAACCCAGUCACUGUUUUGUUUUUGAGCAUGACAACAAAUGAGGAUGAGUAUGGAAAAGAGAUGCCACAAAUGGCUUCCACUGCUUGCUGUUAGCGUAGCACCAGACAAAUGAAGACACUAAAUGCAUCAGAGCCCCACGAAAGCCUGAACUCACAAAGUCCUCCUGCUUUUUCCCUCCUAGCUCUGCCAGGUUUCUGGCCGAGAGGGCAGCCCUAAUCCUCUCCUGGUGCAGCUCCAGCAUUGGCCUGUGAGCGCACACCCUGCCUGCACCGCUGCUUCCUGCCCUUUGAACUGUGAUAAAAGAAAACCAUAAAUUUAAGGGUACAGCCAGUUUUACGUGUCAUGCUUUUUCAAAAUUCAGGUAAGCCUCUGCAGCAAGGGGUUCAAAGGUGAGGAGAGCUCUGGCUCAGGGAUCUGUCUGGCCAAGGUCCACCACAGGGUUCCUCUCUUCCUUCUAUUCCAAGCCUGCUCCAGUGAGGAUCUUCCAUUGUGGUGUUAGUCAAGGCUCACAGGCAUCAGGGUGGAACAGGAGACAUGUCUCUUCCCGGGGGCUGGAGCACAGAUGACAGAGGGGAACAGGGAACACAACGGUUGGAGCAGAAGCAAAUCAGCAUGCACACACCAAGCUAACUAGGGGCAAAGACACAGGCCUUCUGCACUUCCCCAGCACUAUCUGCAACCUAGAGUCCAG